rnacentral:rRNA from 1 species
CCUAUGGGGUGCAGCAGGCGCGAAAACUUUACAAUGCGGGAAACCGUGAUAAGGGAAUCUCGAGUGCCAGCAUAUAAUGUUGGCUGUCCAGAUGCCUAAAAAGCAUCUGUUAGCAAGGGCCGGGCAAGACCGGUGCCAGCCGCCGCGGUAACACCGGCGGCCCGAGUGGUAACCGCUUUUAUUGGGUCUAAAGGGUCUGUAGCCGGCCAAGUAAGUCCCUUGGGAAAUCUGGCAGCUUAACUGUCAGGCUGCUAGGGGAUACUGCUAGGCUUGGGACCGGGAGAGGUGAGAGGUACCUUGGGGGUAGGGGUGAAAUCUUGUGAUCCUCGGGGGACCACCAGUGGCGAAGGCGUCUCACCAGAACGGGUCCGACGGUAAGGGACGAAAGCUAGGGGCACGAACCGGAUUAGAUACCCCGGUAGUCC